rnacentral:lncRNA from 1 species
UCAGAGAAUACAUAUAAAGAAUAGUUAGACCUACACCACUAAGUAACUUCAUGUACGAUGCACAAUUAAUCAAAUCAUCCAGUGAAUCAUGUGAUUUAUCAAUAUGUUUCACCUUCAAUGAUUUCAUUUGAUUCCAAAUUGUUGGAAGUUUUAACUAUAGAAGUUAACACAAUACAUAGUACAUAACUAUUAAUUAGACUUAUUAAUAAUUUAAUACAAUGAAAGGCGACACGUAUGUAAUGAGAUGGAUGUUCUGGCAACCAUUUAAUCAUAUUUAUCACAUGGCACUAAUAGAGCAGAAAACGUCGUUCAAUUCAAGUAUGACAAUAAUUGAAAGUGAACAUUUACACAAAGUGGGCUACACUACUUAAAUUGUCGUCCCUACAGUAGCAGUGGAGCCAGAUUUCUCAUCUAGCUCUCUAGGCUUUAAACCAGCUUCCGCAAGUUACAAGUUAAACAAGUACAAACAAAACUCCAAAAAUGAUAUUCGACAGUGCCCUCCGGCCUACCGCUGCAACACUUCGAACCCAAAGUUUCAAUCUUCCUUUUAUUUCCCUCCAAAAUCACCCAUUUUUCCACAAAGGUAAAAAUUAAGUCCAAAUGGACAAGUUUUGGUCUAGAUAUCUAUGUAGAAAUAAUUAGAUUAUAUCCAUCCCUUUCUUAAUCUAGUUUAUUUUUAUAGACAUUAUACAAUAAGAUAAAAAACAAAAAAUUUAAUCUCCAUUUUCCAGCCCAAAAUCCCCCAUCUAAACAUACCAUAAAGAAAAAUAUGAAGUCCAUAUGGACAUUUUUUGGUUUAAAUAUAUAAGUAGAAGUAAUUACUAGGUUAUAGCCCUUUAACUUUGAAUGAGGGAAUUAGGACUAAAUGGAAAUGUUGAGUCGAUUGUUUAUGAAAUUGAAGGGACAGAAAGGAAUAGGACAAAGGAGAGAGAUCACCUCUGCAAAGAUCAUGCUCAGAGUAAGAAUUUUGGGAAAGAGGGGGUCGAUAUACUAACUGAUGAGGACAUAAGGCACAUGAACAAUGGAACACUCCAAAAAAUUAGGAGGUUCAAUAACAAGGAGACGUGCUAAGAAAGUCUUAAACCAAAUAGUGACAAACGUGGUCGAAAAGUCCUAAGCAAAGGGAAUGGAGCUUAAAUUGGUCAACUAUUAGAGUCAAAGUGAAGAAUAAAGGAGAGGGGGCGGGGUGCAUCAUUCAACCCAUUUUUUCUACUUUUAUUUUAAUUAAAAAUGUAAUAAAAUGUGUUUACUUUCAGGUCAUACUUUCUUCUGCAUUUCAGGUGGCUACAUCCGCUUGUAACAAGCAUGGUGUCUAGUUACUAAUCUAAUUUUUAAGUUUCUAUCAUAAUGCAACAAAUUCCCCAAUUUCAGAUCAUUGUAAUAACAAAUAAGGCAAUAAGAAAUGCAGAAACUUUAAAGAAAAGUUGUGUUUGUUUUGUAACAAUUUGAAGGUUACUUUAUAAUAAUUGUUGACAAUAUGUGACUCCAGUAGCACAAGAAAAAUAAUAUCACACCUGUCCAACAACAGGACUUGUUUCUGACUGCAUGUGAUCAUGAUUUGUUUCCUGCAAAAUUUCAGGACGUUAGCCAGUAAAAGAUUAAGCAACAAACAAGUUCCCUAAAUUAAAUGGAGGUUACUUUCAUACAAUUAGAUAUUGCAGCACGAUCAUGUUUUUAAGUCAAGACUAGACAUGAAGGUAAGGAUUGCUUUUGUAAUGGUAUAGAAAUAAGAAUGGACCUGUUGCUUUUGAGAAACUUCUUGAGAGGAAGAUAACGACGAUUGUGAGUGAAGAACGCUAUGAUCAUCUUGUUCAUGUUGCUUCUGUGACUCUUUGUCAUACAAAGCAUACUCCUCAGGCUUUUCCCACUGCAACAAGAGUAACCAUUACAACAAAGAAAUAGAAAUGCAAAACAGUUUGUGUGAAUAAGAUAAAAAAGUUUCAAACAUUACUCUGCUUUCACAAGUGACGCAGUUGUAGUAGUACUUGUGACCAUCAGGACUGUAGUGUUCACUCCAAUCACACUCUGGAAAUUCUUCAUCUUGGGGAUUUGUAGGCAGAUCAGGUGAGGUACUGCCAGCAACUGUAUUAGAGUUACGUUCGGACUGAGUAGGCAGCUGGGAAGAACAAUAAAUGAGAACAUUGUUGCAAUCUGCCAAAUAAAAAUUCCUAACCAGUAUCUUGUCAUAUUGAAUGAUCCAUUAAAAUGUUUGUAAUUUAUUAGUAAUGGUAGACGUCAAAAAAAAAAACGUAUUAGUAGUGGUAGAUACAGAGAAAACAGAAAACUAAAACUAAGUGAAUAACAUGUUGGUAGUUUACCAUUACUUGUAAGUUGUAACAGUAACUCUCCAAUAAUGCUCCUCAAUUAUAACAACCCAUUAUUAUCAUUUUAAUUUUCAUAAAUAAAAAAAAGAAAGGAGAGAAAGUUUAACUACUUCUAACAGGAGAGGUAGGCAACCAAGAAACCGAAACAUAUUCAGAAUUUCAAAAUAGAAACAUAAGUACAUAACAAUGACGAAAGUUCAAAAAGUUUAAAGAGAAUAUGAAAUAUGAUUUGGAGAUUUGAGGAUAUUAUGACUGACAACAGACAUAUAACCAAGAGUACACUAAAUAACUUCACCUGCGUCAGUCAACCUAUUCAAUAACAAAAACUUACUUGAGUCCCAACCCCAACCAAAACUUCCCUGAAAAAUCAAUUACUGUAUUACUUGUUAGCCACUAACCUGAAAAUUUAGUUGCUGCUCUAUAUUUUGGACAGAUGAAUCAGCUGGAUGAAAUUGUCUCUGCACGUCAGCAAGAAAAGGUGGAGAAGACAAGUUGGGAGCUCGAAUUGACCGCAAAUGCAUUGAAGCAAAUU